UUCAAGUCCGUUUUAUCAGAGACUAGGAUUGCAACCCCUGCUUUUUUUUUUUUUUUUUUUUUUGCUUUCCAUUUGCUUGGUAAAUCUUCCUCCAUCCCUUUAUUUUGAGCCUAUGUGUGUCUCUGCACAUGAGAUGGGUCUCCUGAAUACAGCAAACUGAUGGGUCUUGACUCUUUAUCCAAUGUGCCAGUCUGUGUCUUUUAAUUGGGGCAUUUAGCCUGUUUACAUUUAAGGUUAAUAUUGUUAUGUGUGAAUGUGAUCCUGUCAUUAUGAUGGUAGCUGGUUAUUUUGCCUGUUAGUUGAUGCAGUUUCUUCACAGUGCUGAUGGUUUUUACAUUUUGGUAUGUUUUUGCAGUGGCUGGUACUGGUUUUUCCUUUCCAUAUUUAGUGCUUCCUUCAGGAGCUCUUGUAAAGCAGGUGUGGUGGUGACAACAUCCUUCAGCAUUUGCUUGUCUGUAAAGGAUUUUAUUUCUCCUUUGCUUAUGAAGCUUAGUUUGGCUGGAUAUGAAAUUCUGGGUUGAAAAUUCUUUUCCUUAAGAAUGUUAAAUGUGUGCCCCCACUCUUUUCUGGGUUGUAGCGUUUCUGCAGAGAGAUCCGCCGUUAGUCUGAUGGGUUUCCCUUUGUGGGUAAUGUGACCUUUCUCUCUGGCUGCCCUUAACAUUUUUUCCUUCAUUUCAACCUUGGUGAAUCUGAUGAUUAUGUGUCUUGGGGUUGCUCUUCUCGAGGAGUAUCUUUGUGGUGUUCUCUGUAUUUCCUGAAUUUGAAUGUUGGCUUGUCUUGCUAGGUUGUGGAAGUUCUCCUGGAUAAUAUCCUGAAGAGUGUUUUCUAACUUGGUUCCAUUCUCCCUGUCACUUUCAGGUACACCAAUCAAAUAUAGGUUUGGUCUUUUCACAUAGUCCCAUAUUUCUUAGAGGCUUUAUUCACUCAUUUUCAUUCUUUUUUCUCUAAUCUUGUCUUCACACUUUAUUUCAUUAAGUUAAUCUUCAAUCUCUGGUAUCCUUUCUUCCACUUGAUCGAUUUGACUAUUGAUACUUGUGUAUGCUUCACGAAGUUCUCGUGCUGUGUUUUUCAUCUCCAUCAGGUUAUUUAUGUUCUUCUCUAAACUGGUUAUUCCAGUUAGCAGUUCCUAUAACCUUUUAUCCAGAUUCUUAGCUUCCUCGCAUUGGGUUAGAACAUGCUCCUUUAGCUUGGAGGAGUUUGUUAUUACUCACCUUCUGAAGCCUCUUUCUGUAAAUUCUUCAAACUCAUUCUCCGUCCAAUUUUGUUCCCUUGCUGGCAAUGAGUUGUGAUCCUUUGGAGGAGGAGAGGCAUUCUGGUUUUUGGAAUUUUCAGCCUUUCUGUGCUGCUUUUUCCUCAUCUUUGUGGAUUUAUCUACCUUUGGUCUUUGAUGCUGGUGACCUUUGGGUGGGGUUUUUGUGUAGUCAUCCUUUUUGUUGAUGUUGAUGCUAUAGCUUUCUGUUUGUUAGUUUUCCUUCAGGCCCCUCUUCUGCAGGUCUGCUGCAGUUUGCUGAAGGUACACUCCGGACUCUCUUUGCCUGGGUAUCACCAGUGGAGGCUGCAGAAUAGCAAAGACUGCUGCCUGCUCCUUCCUCUGGAAGCUUCAUCCCAGAAGGGCACCCACCAGAUGCCAGCUGGAACUCUCCUGUAUGAGGUGUCUGUCGAUUCCUGCUGGGAGGUGUCUCCCCGUCAGGAACCACCAGAGUCAGGGACUCACUUGAGGAGGCAGUCUGUCCCUUAGCAGAGCUCAAGCGUUGUGCUGGGAGACCUGCUGCUCUCUUGAGAGCUGGCAGGCAGGAACAUUUAAGUCUGCUGAAACUGCGCCCACAGCCACCCCUUCCCCCAGGUGCUCUGUCCCAGGGAGAUGGGAGUUUGAUCUGUAAGCCCCUGACUGGGGGCUGCUACCUUUCUUUCAGAGAUGCCCUGCCCAGAGAGGAGGAAUCUAGAGAGGCAGUCUGGCUACAGCAGUUUUAUGGCGCUGCGGCAGGCUCAGCCCAGUAUGAUCUUCCUGAUGGCUUUCUUUACACUCUAAGGGGAAAACCACCUACUCAAGCCUCAGUAAUGGCGGAUGCCCCUCCCCCCCACCAAGCUCGAGCAUCCCUGGUCAACUUCAGACUGCUGUGCUGCCAGUGAGAAUUUCAAGCCAGUGGAUCUCAGUGUGUUGGGCUCCGUGGUGAUGGGAUCCACUGAGCAAGACCACUUGGCUCCCUGGCUUCAGCCCCCUUUCCAGGGGAGUGAACAGUUGGGACUCGCUGAGGUUCAGACGCCACUGGGGUGCGAAAAAAAUUCUCCUGCAGCUAGCUCAGUGUCUGCCCAAAUGGCCGCCCAGUUUUGUCCUUGAAACUUAGGGCCCUGGUGGUGUAGGCACUCGAUGGAAUCUCCUGGUCUGCGGGCUGCAAAGACAGUGGCAAAAGCCUAGUAUCUGGGCUGGAUAGGUCUGUCCCUCACUCACGGCUUCCCUUGGCUAGGGGAGGGAGUUCCCCGACCCCUUGUGCUUCCUGGGUAAUGCAAUGCCGCACGCUACUUCUGCUUGCCCUCCAUAGGCUGUACCCACUGUCUA
rnacentral:lncRNA from 1 species